rnacentral:rRNA from 1 species
CAGUAGCCGCGGUAAUACGAGGGGGGCAAGCGUUGUUCGGAAUUAUUGGGCGUAAAGGGUGCGUAGGCGGUUUGGCAAGUCUUGUGUGAAAUCUUCGGGCUCAACCCGAAGCCUGCACGAGAAACUGCCGGGCUUGAGUAUUGGAGAGGUGAGUGGAAUUUCCGGUGUAGCGGUGAAAUGCGUAGAUAUCGGAAGGAACACCUGUGGCGAAAGCGGCUCACUGGACCAUAACUGACGCUGAUGCACGAAAGCUAGGGGAGCAAACAGGAUUAGAUACCCCGGUAGUCCCUGUCUCUUAUAC